GAUGAAGAACGUAGUGAAAUGCGAUAAGUAGUGUGAAUUGCAGAAUUCAGUGAAUCAUCGAAUCUUUGAACGCACAUUGCGCCCUUUGGUAUUCCAAAGGGCAUGCCUGUUCGAGCGUCAUUUGUACCCUCAAGCUUUGCUUGGUGUUGGGCGUCUUGUCUCUAGCUUUGCUGGAGACUCGCCUUAAAGUAAUUGGCAGCCGGCCUACUGGUUUCGGAGCGCAGCACAAGUCGCACUCUCUAUCAGCAAAGGUCUAGCAUCCAUUAAGCCUUUUUUCAACUUUUGACCUCGGAUCAGGUAGGGAUACCCGCUGAACUUAAGCAUAUCAAUAAGCGGAGGA
rnacentral:misc_RNA from 1 species